GACGAACGCUGGCGGCGUGCUUGACACAUGCAAGUCGAACGGAAAGGCCUGCUUUCCCUUGUGGAUUGCGGGUACUCGAGUGGCGAACGGGUGAGUAACACGUGAGUGAUCUGCCCCCAACUUGGGUAUAAGCCUGGGAAACUGGGUCUAAUUCCCGAUAGGACUGCAGGGUGGUGCCUGUGGUGGAAAACGAUUUUCUAGUGGUUGGGGAUGAGCUCGCGGCCUAUCAGCUUGUUGGUGGGGUAAUGGCCUACCAAGGCGGCGACGGGUAGCCGGCCUGGGAGGGGGGACGGCCACAUUGGGACUGAGAUACGGCCCAGACUCCUACGGGAGGCAGCAGUGGGGAAUAUGGCACAAGGGGCGGAAGCCUGAUGCAGCGACGCCGAGUGGGGGAUGACGGCCUUCGGGUUGUAAACUCCUUUCGACCGCGAGGAAGCCACCUGGUUGGAAGGGUGGUGACGGUAGUGGGAGAAGAAGCACCGGCUAACUACGUG
rnacentral:rRNA from 1 species